GUCCUAAGGUAGCGAAAUUCCUUGGCAUCUAAUUAGUGUCCUGCAUGAAUGGUGUAAUGACUGUCUUACUGUCUCUAACAUGGACUCAGUGAAAUUGAAUUCCUCGUGCAGAUGCGGGGUACUUACAGCUAGACGAGAAGACCCUAUCGACCUUUACUAUAGCUUUCCAUUGCAGUAACAAAAUUUAUGUGUAGAAUAAGUGGGAGUUUUUGAAACCUUUACGCUAGUAAACUGUUUAAACAUCUUUGAAAUACCGCUCUUAAAUUUUGUUAUGGCUCAUUUUAUCUAAUAAUUUGAUAAAAGACAUUGUUUGGUUGGUAGUUUGACUGGGGCGGUCACCUCCUAAAGAGUACCGGAGGUGUACUUAAGGUAAGUUCAAAUCAUAAUAUCAUGAUUCGAGAGCAUAACGGUUUAUACUUGCUUGACUGUAAGAUUGACAAAUCGAACAGGGACGAAAGUCGGUCGUAGUGAUCUGGUGAUUCUUUAUGGAAGGAUCAUCACUCAUCGGAUAAAAGGUACCGUAGG
rnacentral:rRNA from 1 species